AACACCUUUGGUGUUCUGGUAGGCCCCCAGCAGACUACUGGGUUGAUAGGCCAGAAGUGGAAGACCGGCAACGGUCUGUGAGCUGACUGGUACUAAUAGGCCAACACAAACAACAAC
rnacentral:rRNA from 1 species